AAUAAAUUUAAAAAAUUAAAAAAAUAAAAUUUUUGAUUUUUUAAAAUAAUUAGUAAAAUAUUAUUAAAUUUUUAAAAAAAAAUUUUAGUAUUUAAAUAGAAAAAAAAUUAAUAUUUAUAGUUAAUUAGUAAUGUAAAUGAAAUUUGAAAAAAUUUAAAAAAAUAAUAUAUUUAAAAGAUAAAUUAAAUUUUUUUAUCUUGUGUAUCAGAGUUUAAAAAUUAUAUUAUAUUAUAAAAUAUUUUUUUCGAAAAAAAUUAAGAGAUAAAAUUUUUAAAUUUUAAUUGUGGAAAAAACUUUAAAUAAGAAAUUUUUGUAAUGAAAAGUUAUUCGAUUUUUUUUAUUUCUAAUUUUUAAAGAAAAAAAUUUAAUUUUGAAUUUAAUUUUGGAUUUAAAAGAUUUUUAAAUUUAUAUUAUAUAAAAAUUAAAUAUUUAUAUUUAUAGGGAUAAGCUUAUAAUUAAAAUUUUAUAUUUUAUUAAAUUUAAAUUAAUAGAAUUUUAAAAUUAAAAUUUUUUAUUUUACUUGAAAUUUUUAAUAAAUUAUCUAUUAAAAAUUAAUUUAUUUUAAAAUAUUUAAUUAAAAAUUUAUUUAAAAUUAUUUAUAAAUUUAAAUUAAUUAGAUUUAAUGUUAAAAUUAGUAUAAAAUUAAUAUUUUAAAAGGAAAAAAAAAUUAGUUUUAAGAAUUAGGCAAAAAAAAAAUUAAAUUUAAAUAGUUUAUUUCACCUGUUUAACAAAAACAUGUCUUUUUGUAAAAAAUAAUAAGUCUAAUCUGCCCACUGAUAAUGUUUAUUGAAGGGCUGCAGAAAUUUAACUGUACAAAGGUAGCAUAAUAAAUUGUUUUUUGAUUAAAAACUAGAAUGAAUGAUUAAAUGAAAUUAAAGCUUUUUUAAAUUAAUUAAGUAGAAUUUGAUUUUUUUGUUAAAAAUCAAAAAUUUAUAUUUUAGACGAGAAGACCCUUUAGAUUUUAAUUAAAAAUUUUUAAAUAUAUAAUUUUAAAUUUAAUUUAUAAAUAUUUAAUUUGAUUGGGGUGAUUGUUAAAUUUAAUUAACUUUAAUUUGUAAUAAAAUUUUAAUUAAAGAAAUUGAUGAAUAAAGGAUUUAAUUUGUUGGAUUAAAAGAAUAAAUUACCUAAGGGAUAACAGCGUAAUUUUAAUUUUUAGAUCUUAUAAAAAUUAAAGAUUGCGACCUCGAUGUUGGAUUAAGAUGAAAUAGAAAUGCAGUUGUUUUUGUUUUUAGUCUGUUCGACUAUUAAAAUCUUACAUGAUCUGAGUUCAAACCGGUGUGAGCCAGGUUGGUUUCUAUCUAAAUUAACAAUGUAAAUUUUUAGUACGAAAGGAUUGAUUUUUAGAAAUAAUGAGUUUAGGAAUAUUAUUGAAAGAAAAUAAGUAGAUAUUAGAUGAA
rnacentral:rRNA from 1 species